rnacentral:lncRNA from 1 species
GUUUCCAUGGUGGAGGCUGAGUCAGGAAGGAAGUUACAACCAGGAUGUGAGGAGCGGGCAAUCACCUAGGAAGCUGAACCAAGUCAAAGAAGACUGUUAUUUGGAGCAUGUGUGAGGCUUGGCUAGCCCAGAGGCUGAUGUCACCAGUAUUCAGAGGUUCAGGAUGAUGCCACCUAUUGGACAUAAGAAACCCAGGAAGAUCUCCUGUGGGUCCACAGCACAAGAUGAUGUUUGGAAGAAAUACCCUCCCCGGUCCACACACUCAGAAUAGGCAG